GGAUCCCUACGGGGGGCAGCAGUGAGGAAUAUUGGUCAAUGGACGAGAGUCUGAACCAGCCAAGUAGCGUGAAGGAUGACUGCCCUAUGGGUUGUAAACUUCUUUUAUAUGGGAAUAAAACGUUCCACGUGUGGGAUUUUGUAUGUACCAUAUGAAUAAGGAUCGGCUAACUCCGUGCCAGCAGCCGCGGUAAUACGGAGGAUCCGAGCGUUAUCCGGAUUUAUUGGGUUUAAAGGGUGCGUAGGCGGAUUUUUAAGUCAGCGGUAAAAUGUCCGGGCUCAACCCGGGCCGGCCGUUGAAACUGG
rnacentral:rRNA from 1 species